GUAGGAGGCAAGCGUUAUCCGGAUUUACUGGGCGUAAAGCGUGUGUAGGCGGUAUGGGUAAGUCGGGACGUGAAAGCUCCUGGCUCAACUAGGAGAGGCCGUUCGAUACUUCCCAAACUUGAGGGCAGUAGAGGGAGGUGGAAUUUCAGGUGUAGCGGUGAAAUGCGUAGAUAUCUGAAGGAACACCAGUGGCGAAGGCGGCCUCCUGGACUGACCCUGACGCUAAGACACGAAAGCUAGGGGAGCGAACGGGAUUAGACACCCCGGUAGUCCUAGCUGUAAACGAUGCAGACUUGGUGUUGGGAGUGUAAAAACUUUCAGUGCCGGAGCUAACGCGUUAAGUCUGCCGCCUGGGGACUACGACCGCAAGGUUA
rnacentral:rRNA from 1 species